ensembl:lncRNA
CUAAGAUCUAUGGGGCUGAGAUCUAUGGGGCAGAGAGGGUGUGCUAUGGGUCUGAGAUAUAUGGGGCUGAGAUCUAUGGGGCAGAAGGGCUGUGCUGUGGGGCUGAGAUCUAUGGGGCAGAAGGGCUGUGCUGUGGGGCUGAGAUCUAUGGGGCAGAGAUGGUGUGCUAUGGGGCUGAGAUCUAUGGGGCUGAGAUCUAUGGGGCUGCGAUCUAUGGGGCAGAAGGGCUGUGCUGUGGGGCUGAGAGCUAUGGGGCUGAGAUCUAUGGGGCUGCGAUCUAUGGGGCAGAAGGGCUGUGCUAUGGGGCUGACGUCUAUGGGGCUGAAGGGCUGUGCUAUGGGGCAGAGAUCUAUGGGGCUGAGAUCUAUGGGGCUGAGAUCUAUGGGGCAGAAGAGCUGUGCUAUGGGGCUGUGAUCUAUGGGGCAGAAGGGCUGUGCUAUGGGGCAGAGAUCUAUGGGGCAGAGAUCUAUGGGUCAGAAGGGCUGUGUUAUGGGGCUGAGAUCUAUGGGACAGAAGGGCUGUGCUGUGGGGCUGAGAUCUAUGGGGCAGAAGGGCUGUGCUGUGGGGCUGUGCUGUGUGUGUGGGUCCCGCUAUGGGGCUGACCCCUCUCUCCCCCUCCCCCCCCCAAAGGCUCCGCCCCACGGAAGGCGCUGUGGGGGCCGUGAGAACCGAACGCCCCCCGACUGCAGCCGCGACGACGAUAAAUACCGACGGCGGCCCCACAGAGCCUGGCUGCCCCACCGCCUCAGGUG